CGAAAGCCUGACGGAGCAACGCCGCGUGAGGGAUGAAGGCCUCUGGGCUGUAACCUCUUUUCUCAAGGAAGAAGAAUUGACGGUACUUGAGGAAUAAGCCACGGCUAAUUCCGUGCCAGCAGCCGCGGUAAUACGGGAGUGGCAAGCGUUAUCCGGAAUUAUUGGGCGUAAAGCGUCCGCAGGCGGCCUUGAAAGUCUGUCGUCAAAGCGUGGAGCUUAACUCCAUUUCGGCGAUGGAAACUACAAGGCUUGAGUGUGGUAGGGGCAGAGGGAAUUCCCGGUGUAGCGGUGAAAUGCGUAGAUAUCGGGGAGUACACCAGUGGCGAAGGCGCUCUGCCGGGCCAUAACUGACGCUCAUGGACGAAAGCCAGGGGAGCG
rnacentral:rRNA from 1 species